rnacentral:rRNA from 1 species
GCAGAUAUCACCUUGUUCGGAAUCCUAAUAUGGAUAACUGCGGAAAUACUGGAGCUAAUACAUGCAACUAAACCCCAACGUAAGGCGGGGUGCAAUUAUUAGAACAGACCAAACGUUUUCGGACGUUGUUUGUUGACUCUGAAUAAAGCAGUUUACUGUCAGUUUCGACUGACUCUAUCCGAAAAGGGUGUCUGCCCUUUCAACUAGAUGGUAGUUUAUUGGACUACCAUGGUUGUUACGGGUAACGGAGAAUAAGGGUUCGACUCCGGAGAGGGAGCCUUAGAAACGGCUACCACGUCCAAGGAAGGCAGCAGGCGCGAAACUUAUCCACUGUUGAGUAUGAGAUAGUGACUAAAAAUAUAAAGACUCAUCCUUUUGGAUGAGUUAUUUCAAUGAGUUGAAUACAAAUGAUUCUUCGAGUAGCAAGGAGAGGGCAAGUCUGGUGCCAGCAGCCGCGGUAAUUCCAGCUCUCCUAGUGUAUCUCGUUAUUGCUGCGGUUAAAAAGCUCGUAGUUGGAUCUAGGUUACGUGCUGCAGUUCGCAAUUUGCGUCAACUGUAGUCGUGACUUCUAAUUUGCUGGUUUGAGGUUGGGUCCGCCCUUCAACUGCCAGCAGGUUUACCUUGAAUAAAUCAGAGUGCUCAAAACAAGUGUUUGCUUGAAUAGCUCAUCAUGGAAUAAUGAAACAGGACUUCGGUUCUUUUUGUUGGUUCUAGAACUGAUUUAAUGGUUAAGAGGGACAAACCGGGGGCAUUCGUAUCAUUACGCGAGAGGUGAAAUUCGUGGACCGUAGUGAGACGCCCAACAGCGAAAGCAUUUGCCAAGAAUGUCUUCAUUAAUCAAGAACGAAAGUC